UACAGAGGUGGCGAGCGUUAUUCGGAAUUAUUGGGCGUAAAGGGCGCGUAGGCGGCCACGCAAGUCUUGGGUGAAAUCCCUCGGCUCAACCGAGGAACUGCCUUGGAAACUGCAUGGCUCGAGGCCGGGAGAGGGUAGCGGAAUUCCCAGUGUAGCGGUGAAAUGCGUAGAUAUUGGGAGGAACACCGGUGGCGAAGGCGGCUACCUGGACCGGUUCUGACGCUGAUGCGCGAAAGCGUGGGGAGCAAAC
rnacentral:rRNA from 1 species